GAUGAACGCUGGCGGCGUGCCUAAUACAUGCAAGUCGAGCGAACAGACGAGGAGCUUGCUCCUCUGACGUUAGCGGCGGACGGGUGAGUAACACGUGGAUAACCUACCUAUAAGACUGGGAUAACUACGGGAAACCGGAGCUCAUACCGGAUAAUAUAUUGAACCGCAUGGUUCAAUAGUGAAAGACGGUUUUGCUGUCACUUAUAGAUGGAUCCGCGCCGCAUUAGCUGGUUGGUAAGGUAACGGCUUACCAAGUCAACGAUGCGUAGCCGACCUGAGAGGGUGAUCGGCCACACUGGAACUGAGACACGGUCCAGACUCCUACGGGAGGCAGCAGUAGGGAAUCUUCCGCAAUGGGCGAAAGCCUGACGGAGCAACGCCGCGUGAGUGAUGAAGGUCUUCGGAUCGUAAAACUCUGUUAUUAGGGAAGAACAAAUGUGUAAGUAACUAUGCACGUCUUGACGGUACCUAAUCAGAAAGCCACGGCUAACUACGUG
rnacentral:rRNA from 1 species